rnacentral:siRNA from 1 species
UUUGGAGUACAUUCCACCUGCUGU